AAUCUGGGGUCCUCGGCCUCCGAGUUGUAAUUUGGAGAGGAAUCUUCGGGGGGGAGCGCCGGCCCAUGUUCCUUGGAACAGGACGUCACAGAGGGUGAGAAUCCCGUGCCAGGCCGGCUGCCUCCUCCCGGGUGAAGGUCCUUCGACGAGUCGAGUUGUUUGGGAAUGCAGCUCCAAGUGGGUGGUAAAUUUCAUCUAAAGCUAAAUACCGGCGGGAGACCGAUAGCGCACAAGUAGAGUGAUCGAAAGAUGAAAAGCACUUUGAAAAUAGAGUCAAAAAGUACGUGAAAUUGUUGAAAGGGAAGCGCUUGAGACCAGACUCAGGCCCGGGCAAACAUCUCUCCCCUCGGGGCCGUGCAAUUGCCUGGGGCUGGGCCAGCAUCAGUUGGCGUGGCGGGACAAAGGCGUGGGGAAUGUGGCUCCCCUCGGGGAGUGUUAUUAGCCCCGCGCUCAAUGCCGCCGGCGCCGACUGAGGACCGCGCCUCGGCUAGGAUGCUGGCUUAAUGGCCUCCAGCGACCCGUCUUGAAACACGGA
rnacentral:rRNA from 1 species